GCUUCUGUCUUGAAGGCAGUUGUGUCAAGAACGAUCUAUCACCUGCAUUGUAGAUAUCUGUGACAAUGAAGAACUUUGAUAAGUAGAGCGUGUAUAUCAAACAU